rnacentral:rRNA from 1 species
AAACCAACAGGGAUUGCCUUAGUAGCGGCGAGUGAACCGGCAAAAGCUCAGAUUUGAAAGCCUUUCGGGGCAUUGUAUUCUGAAGCCGUUGUCCUGGGAAAACGGUGCCUAAGUUUCCUGGAAAGGAACACCAUAGAGGGUGACAGUCCCGUACGGCAUUGACCCCAUUGUAGGACCUCGGUAUGGAGUCGAGUUGUUUGGGAAUGCAGCUCAAACGGGUGGUAUGCUCCAUCUAAAGCUAAAUAUCUGCGAGAGACCGAUAGCGAACAAGUACUGUGAAGGAAAGAUGAAAAGAACUUUGAAAAGAGAGUGAAAAAGUACGUGAAAUUGUUGAAAUGGAAGGGUAGGCCGCUAACCACGCAGAGUCGUGUUUGGAGGGAGGAUAAAAACUAGAGAAUGUGGCUCCUCGGAGUGUUAUAGCUCUAGUCAAUACUCCCAUCCGGGCGCGAGGAUCUCAGACUCUGCUAAAUGGUGGUCUACCAC